ensembl:lncRNA
GGAUAUUCGUGAUCGUGCCUCGUCUAACUUAUUGUCCAAUGAUGGCACGUUGGCAAGUAAUAUGGACAGUAAUGGCAGCUUUCCCACUCGCUUUCUGCGGAUCCUUACGAGGCACCCCGCUCUGUGUCCUCUGUACCUGCGUCUCUUCCUCUUGCAAAUAACUGGGAUGUUGGCCUUGUCGGGUGUUCUGAGAAUGUCCUGUGCGUCCUGCUUGUUGAAGAAAAAUUAUUUGUCUAAUCCGAGGUGAGUGAUCGCUGUCCUGAUAUCCAGAAGAUCUUUGUCUAAUCCGAGGUGAGUGAUCGCUGUCCUGAUAUCCAGAAGAUCUUUGUCUAAUCCGAGGUGAGCGAUCGCUGUCCUGAUAUCCAGAAGCUCUUAGUCUAAUCCGAGGUGAGCGAUCGCUGUCCUGAU